rnacentral:misc_RNA from 1 species
CCUGACACCGAUUCACCUUGUUGUGAAGGUCGGACCAACUUGCGUGUGGCGGCUGUUUCACAUUUAUCUGUUCUUCCUUCACAGCGUGUCUGUACGCCCCGAUGUAUGUUUCAAGGCUGGGCUAAGGACCUACCAUAUCCCCACGGUCUCUCUCUUCGUAAAAAAAAAAUACGCGUGGAUUAAUGGAUUAGUCUUGGCCUUGGCACCUAAACGGUCUUUUAUUGAUUCAGAUGAAUUUUGUGUAUUUCCAGGAAAUAUUGCGCCGCCGCCGCCUCCCGCCGAUGAUUUCACCAGAUCAGCCUUGUUGAUAUUAUUCUUGUUGUUGUUAUUCUGCUCGGAAAAGUGAGAAGUAAUCGGAGAGUAAUGUGCUUUUUCUCGUGAAUUUAUUUGAAAUAUAAUACACGAAGUAGUAAAGUAUAUAUAUAAAUAUAUAUAUAUAUCCAUGUGUAUAGAUAUAUAUAUACGUGUGUUUAUAUAUGAUUAUGGUGUUGUAUACUCAUACGAGGAUUGCUAAGCGUUGUCACACACGUAUACAACACACACCCUCUUGAGAAGAUAAACAAGAACUCUGAAAAUAUUGAAGACACCAUCUCACACACACGCAUAAGGAAUAAGGAAAGAAAAACCAGGCAUUUUGUGCACGGCCUUCAUCACUGUCGUCAAUAAAGAGACACAUAGAAUUCCGACCCUCGCCACCAGAACAUCAUCAUCACCAUCAUCAUAAUAAUCGUCCUCGGUAUAUAAUACUGCAGUAGCAGUUACAUCUCUGAUACCAUCACCACCACCACUUAUAAUAAUAAUAAUAAUAACAACAACAACAGCCUGAAGACGAAGCUGUAGCAGAACAAGAAUGAGAGCUCGUUGUAUCGCAACCUCUGUGAUCGCAUCGGCAUCAUUAUCGUCGUCGUCGUCGUCUUCAUCGCCAGCAUUGUGACCCGAAGAGACGAACUUGCAACCAUCAAUAGUAACACCACCACCAGCAGCACCACCACCACUACCAGUAUCAGCAGCAUCAUCAUCAUCAUCGCCGUAAACUGACCGUAGCUGUGACAAUCGUUAGCACCAUCAUCAUCAUCAUCUUCGUUACCAAAAAAUAGUCAGCCAAAAGACCAUACAACACCGCAAUUUUCCAUCACUAGCAUCAUUGUCGUCGCUAGCAUCUCUAGUAAAGAAAAAAAUUUUUUAAAUAGCUACAUCACCACCGCCAACAAGUGUCACCACCACCGCCACCACCAUCAUCACUAUCAUCAGUGUCUUCAGUUAAGAGAGAGAGAGCAACCACUGCGCCGCAGCCGCUCACACCGCGACCACCACCAGCAACAGCAACAACAUAAAGAAUCCCCCAUCACAAUUAUCAGCGCUGUCAUCAAAGAUAACGACCACACCACAACAACAACAACAACUAAAUCGUCUCCAGUUCUAAAACUGCAGCAACAGCAACAGCAGUAAUAAUACUACUACUACUACUAUUGAAAUAGUGAAGAUGUCCAGUCACGCAACUACCACAACUGGUAAAAAAUCGACCACGGUUUCGAUUCCUCAUCCCGACCGCAACCAGUAUUACCAAAAUGCUAUCGUACAGCCGUUACUCACAGAUCUCUACCAGAUCACGAUGGCUUACUCAUACUGGUUGUGUGGAAAAGAAAAAGAUAUCGCCUGCUUUGAUUUGUACUUUCGCAAAAACCCUUUCCACGGAGAAUUCACCAUUUUCGCUGGCCUUGAAGAGUGUGUUAGAUUUCUUGAAAAGUUCCACUUCACAGAUAGUGAUAUUGACUACUUGAAGACUGUCCUGCCUGAACAAACCAACCCAGGAUUCUUUGAGUAUCUGAAGAACAUGAAUGUGAACAGUGUCACUCUUUGGGCCAUUGAUGAAGGCACGGUAGUGUUUCCGAAGGUACCACUCAUUGUAGUCGAAGGGCCGUUACCUAUUGUUCAGUUGCUGGAGACGUGUUUCUUAAAUUUGGUUAACUAUGCAAGCCUGGUCGCUACCAAUGCUGUACGUUUCCGAUUGGCUGCUGGUUUCGAUAUGAAGUUGUUUGAGUUUGGACUGAGAAGGGCCCAGGGGCCAGACGGGGGUAUGUCUGCGUCACGAUACUGCUACAUGGGAGGUUUUGAUGGGACCAGUAAUGUAUUGGCUGGGAAAUUCUUUGACAUUCCUGUGAAGGGAACACACGCUCAUGCUUUUGUAAACUCUUUCAUUAACCUCAGCAGUCUUAAGAGCAGAACUCUAAAGAAGAACAAUUCCGAUGAAAUAGUAGAUUUCCUUAGUUUGUGCUUGGAAUGGCAGUCUCGAUUAUGUAAUCAAUUAGGAUUCUUCAAAGACCAAGUGAAUGAAGGUGAACUGGCAGCAUUUUGUUCCUAUGCCAUAUCUUUCCCCAACCAGUUCUUGGCACUCAUUGACACCUACGACGUAGUCAAGAGUGGCUUACCCAACUUUCUCACAGUGGCACUUGCCCUGCACGCAAUUGGCUACAAAGCUCAAGGUGUUAGAAUCGACAGUGGAGAUCUGGCUUACCUUUCCACCAUCUCUCGGCAAGAAUUCGAAAAGGUAGCUACAAUGUUUAACAUCCCAGUAUUUGGCAAGUUUACCAUCGUAGCCAGCAAUGACAUCAACGAGGAUACGAUCCAUUCUCUAAACCAGCAGUCAAAUACAGAUGAUAAUUCAGUUGAUAAUACGUUAGAUCAACCACAUCAUCAGAUCAACUGUUAUGGAAUUGGUACACACUUAGUGACAUGCCAGAAACAGCCAGCACUUGGUUGUGUCUUUAAGUUGGUACAAAUUAAUGAUAUUCCUCGGAUAAAACUGAGCGAAGAACCUGAUAAAAUUGGUAUCCCUGGAAAGAAAACUGCCUACAGACUAUAUGGUGCUGAUGACAUUGCUCUCAUUGAUGUUCUCAUACGUGACACAGAGCAGCCUCCCCUGGCAGGUGAGCGUGUCUUCUGUCGACAUCCAUUUCAGGAAACAAAACGAGCUUAUGUGCAACCUUCAAGAGUUGAACCACUGUACAAAGUUUACUGGAAAAAUGGGAAAGCUCAGCACAAUCUCCCAACGCUGCGACAACUGAGAGAGAAGACAUUGUCAUCAUUGAGUCACAUACGGGAAGAUCACAAGCGAGCCCUACAGCCUAGUCCAUAUAAGGUGGCUGUCAGUGACAAACUCUACACGUUCAUGCAUAAUCUAUGGCUGGAGAAUGCUCCAGUUGGGGAGUUGUGUUAAUAUUUGCUAUUGCUUCUAAUUUUUUGUUUCUUAGUACGGCCUAAUAUAUACACGUGUGUGUGUGUGUGUAUAUACAUAUAUAUGUAUACAUAUGUAUACACACACAUACAAAUACACACAUAUAUAUAUACAGACUUAUAGACACAAACAC